rnacentral:rRNA from 1 species
UACGUAGGGUGCAAGCGUUAAUCGGAAUUACUGGGCGUAAAGCGUGCGCAGGCGGCUAUGCAAGACAGAUGUGAAAUCCCUGGGCUCAACCUGGGAACUGCAUUUGUGACUGCAUGGCUGGAGUACGGCAGAGGGGGAUGGAAUUCCGCGUGUAGCAGUGAAAUGCGUAGAUAUGCGGAGGAACACCGAUGGCGAAGGCAAUCCCCUGGGCCUGUACUGACGCUCAUGCACGAAAGCGUGGGGAGCAAACAGG